GACAGAGGUGCCAAGCGUUAGGCGGAAUCACUGGGCUUAAAGCGUGUGUAGGCGGACUUCUAAGUACCUUGUGAAAUCCCACGGCUCACCCGUGGAACUGCUCGGUAUACUGGUCGUCUUGAGCCUUCUAGGGGCGAGUGGAACAAAUGGUGGAGCGGUGAAAUGCGUAGAUAUCAGGAGGAACACCGGUGGCGAAGGCGGGUCUCUGGGCCGAUACUGACGCUGAGGAGCGAAAGCGUGGGGAGCGAACAGG
rnacentral:rRNA from 1 species